GCGACAAGCGGAGGAGCAUGUGGUUUAAUUCGAUGAUACGCGAGGAACCUUAACCUGGGCUCGAACGUAAGAUGACUGUAGGUGAAAGCUUACAUCUCUUCGGAGCAUUUUACGAGGUGCUGCAUGGUUGUCGUCAGCUCGUGCCGUGAGGUGUCGGGUUAAGUCCCAUAACGAGCGCAACCCUACCUUUAGUUGCCAUCAGGUAAUGCUGGGGACUCUAAAGGAACUGCCUACGCAAGUAGUGAGGAAGGCGGGGAUGACGUCAAAUCAGCACGGCCCUUACGUCCAGGGCUACACACGUGCUACAAUGGCCGAUACAGAGGGCAGCUACCUGGUGACAGGAUGCAAAUCUCCAAAGUCGGUCUCAGUUCGGAUCGGAGUCUGCAACCCGACUCCGUGAAGUUGGAUUCGCUAGUAAUCGCGCAUCAGCCAUGGCGCGGUGAAUACGUUCCCGGGCCUU
rnacentral:rRNA from 1 species